UUUCAGAAAUGUUUACCUGAUCAAGAUUGUCAUUGAAAAUACAUUCAUAUCUCUUCAUGCAUCCAGGUCAUUUCACUGAAUGCAACUCUACCUGGAUGACUGAGUGGUGUGGACUCUUCAUUUCAAACCCUGGCCCUGGCAUAAAGUCCAUUACUGUCUCUUCAGGGAUGAAGAUACUGGUGCAAUAGGUACAUUAGAGAUACUGAUGAGCAACUAUGAUUCUUCAACUUUGAUCUCAGCCUUUGACCCCGUGCUUGACUGACUCUGUGUGGGAUCAGCGACAGAGAGAGAUAUUAGGGUAAGACUCCAUCUCAUCUAUCCUAGCAUUAUGAUGCCAGUGAUGAAAACAAAGCCUGCCAUUGUUC
rnacentral:lncRNA from 1 species